rnacentral:rRNA from 1 species
CCUACGGGCGGCAGCAGUAGGGAAUAUUGCUCAAUGGGGGAAACCCUGAAGCAGCAACGCCGCGUGGAGGAUGAAGGUUUUCGGAUUGUACACUCCUUUUGUUAGAGAAGAUAAUGACGGUAUCUAACGAAUAAGCACCGGCUAACUCCGUGCCAGCAGCCGCGGUAAUACGGAGGGUGCAAGCGUUACUCGGAAUCACUGGGCGGAAAGAGCGCGUAGGCGGGAUAGCAAGUCAGAUGUGAAAUCCUAUGGCUUAACCAUAGAACUGCAUUUGAAACUGUUAUUCUAGAGUAUGGGAGAGGUAGGUGGAAUUCUUGGUGUAGGGGUAAAAUCCGUAGAGAUCAAGAGGAAUACUCAUUGCGAAGGCGACCUGCUAGAACAUAACUGACGCUGAUGCGCGAAAGCGUGGGGAGCAAACAGGAUUAGAUACCCCAGUAGUC